rfam:Salmo salar isolate Sally breed double haploid chromosome ssa23, whole genome shotgun sequence.
UGUACUCACUACUGUAAGUCGCUUUGGAUAAAAGCGUCUGCUACAUGCAUAUU